rnacentral:rRNA from 1 species
GACGAACCGUGCGAACGUUAUUCGGAAUCACUGGGCUUAAAGCGCGUGUAGGCGGGACGGCACGUCGGUCGCUGAAAUCCCCCGGCUCAACCGGGGAACGGGCGCCGAUACGACCGUCCUGGAGGGACGUAGGGGGACCUGGAACUUCCGGUGGAGCGGUGAAAUGCGUUGAGAUCGGAAGGAACGCCCGUGGCGAAAGCGAGGUCCUGGACGUUUUCUGACGCUGAGACGCGAAAGCCAGGGGAGCAAA